GAUCAUGGCUCAGGAUGAACGCUAGCUACAGGCUUAACACAUGCAAGUCGAGGGGAAACGACAUCGAAAGCUUGCUUUUGGUGGGCGUCGACCGGCGCACGGGUGAGUAACGCGUAUCCAACCUGCCCACCACUUGGGGAUAACCUUGCGAAAGUAAGACUAAUACCCAAUGAUAUCCCACGAAGGCAUCCGAAUGGGAUUAAAGAUUUAUCGGUGAUGGAUGGGGAUGCGUCUGAUUAGCUUGUUGGCGGGGUAACGGCCCACCAAGGCAACGAUCAGUAGGGGUUCUGAGAGGAAGGUCCCCCACAUUGGAACUGAGACACGGUCCAAACUCCUACGGGAGGCAGCAGUGAGGAAUAUUGGUCAAUGGGCGAGAGCCUGAACCAGCCAAGUAGCGUGCAGGAUGACGGCCCUAUGGGUUGUAAACUGCUUUUAUAAGGGAAUAAAGUGGGUCUCGUGAGACUUUUUGCAUGUACCUUAUGAAUAAGGACCGGCUAAUUCCGUG
rnacentral:rRNA from 1 species